rnacentral:rRNA from 1 species
GAAUUUUGGACAAUGGGCGAAAGCCUGAUCCCGCAAUGCCGCGUGCAGGAUGAAGGCCUUCGGGUUGUAAACUGCUUUUGUACGGAACGAAUCGCUUUGGUACAAUACCCUGCAGUCCUGACUGUACCCUAACAAUAAGCCCCGGCUAACUACGUGCCAGCAGCCGCGGUAAGACGUAGGGUGCAAGCGUUAAUCGGAAUUACUGGGCGUAAAGCGUGCGCAGGCGGUGUUGUAAGACAGAGGUGAAAUCCCCGGGCUCAACCUGGGAACUGCCUUUGUGACUGCAAGGCUAGAGUACGGCAGAGGGGGGUGGAAUUCCGCGUGUAGCAGUGAAAUGCGUAGAUAUGCGGAGGAACACCGAUGGCGAAGGCAACCCCCUGGGCCUGUACUGACGCUCAUGCACGAAAGCGUGGGGAGCAAACA